rnacentral:rRNA from 1 species
AUUGAACGCUGGCGGCAGGCCUAACACAUGCAAGUCGAACGGUAACAGGAAGAAGCUUGCUUCUUUGCUGACGAGUGGCGGACGGGUGAGUCAUGUCUGGGAAACUGCCUGAUGGAGGGGGAUAACUACUGGAAACGGUAGCUAAUACCGCAUAACGUCGCAAGACCAAAGAGGGGGACCUUCGGGCCUCUUGCCAUCGGAUGUGCCCAGAUGGGAUUCGCUAGUAGGUGGGGUAACGGCUCACCUAGGCGACGAUCCCUAGCUGGUCUGAGAGGAUGACCAGCCACACUGGAACUGAGACACGGUCCAGACUCCUACGGGAGGCAGCAGUGGGGAAUAUUGCACAAUGGGCGCAAGCCUGAUGCAGCCAUGCCGAGUGUAUGAAGAAGGCCUUCGGGUUGUAAAGUACUUUCAGCGGGGAGGAAGGGAGUAAAGUUAAUACCUUGGCUCAUUGACGUUACCCGCAGAAGAAGCACCGGCUAACUCCGUG